GGAGGGUGCAAGCGUUGUUCGGAAUUACUGGGCGUAAAGCGCGUGCAGGUGGUUUGGCAAGUCGGGUGUGAAAUCCCCGGGCUCAACCCGGGAACUGCAUCCGAAACUUCUUAACUAGAGUCCCGGAGAGGAAGGCAGAAUUCCCAAUGUAGGGGUGAAAUCCGUAGAUAUUGGGAGGAAUACCAGUUGCGAAGGCGGCCUUCUGGACGGUGACUGACACUCAGACGCGAAAGCGUGGGGAGCAAACAGGAUUAGAUACCCGGGGUAGUCCACGCUGUAAACGUUGCGGACUAGGUGUCGGAGGUAUUCACUCCUCCCGGUGCCCGGAGCUAACGUUUUAAGUCCCGCCGCCUGGGAAGUACGGCCGCAAGGCUA
rnacentral:rRNA from 1 species